rnacentral:rRNA from 1 species
CUAAGUUUGAUGGCGACCGGCGCACGGGUGAGUAACACGUAUCCAACCUGCCGAUGACUCGGGGAUAGCCUUUCGAAAGAAAGAUUAAUACCGGAUAGUAUACGAAUAUCGCAUGAUAUUUUUAUUAAAGAAUUUCGGUUAUCGAUGGGGAUGCGUUCCAUUAGUUUGUUGGCGGGGUAACGGCCCACCAAGACUACGAUGGAUAGGGGUUCUGAGAGGAAGGUCCCCCACAUUGGAACUGAGACACGGUCCAAACUCCUACGGGAGGCAGCAUG